UUAAGCAUAUCAUAAGUUGGAAGAAAAAAAAAUACAAGGAUUCCCCUAGUAACUGCGAGUGAAGCGGGAAAAGCUCAAAUUUAAAAUCUGGUGGUCUCUGGUCAUCCGAGUUGUAAUCUAGAGAAGUGUUACCCGCGUUGGACCGUGUACAAGUCUCCUGGAAUGGAGCGUCAUAGAGGGUGAGAAUCCCGUCUUUGACAUGGACUACCAAGGCUUUGUGGUGCGCUCUCAACGAGUCGAGUUGUUUGGGAAUGCAGCUCAAAAUGGGUGGUAAAUUCCAUCUAAAGCUAAAUACAGGCGAGAGACCGAUAGCGAACAAGUACCGUGAGGGAAAGAUGAAAAGAACUUUGGAAAGAGAGUUAAACAGUACGUGAAAUUGCUGAAAGGGAAACGCUGGAAGUCAGUCGCGUUGGCUAGGAAUCAACCUUACUCUUUUGUAGGGCUUACUUCUUAGUUGACGGGCCAACAUCAAUUUUGAUUGCUGGAGAAAGGCUUAGGAAAUGUGGCACCUUCGGGUGUGUUAUAGUCCUAGGUUGUAUACAGUGGUUGGGAUUGAGGAACGCAGCACGCCGUAAGGUUGGGUCUCUGACCACACUCGUGCUUCGGAUGUUGGCAUAAUGGCUUUCAUCGACCCGUCUUGAAACACGGACCAAGGAGUCUAACAUGCCUGCGAGUGUUUGAGUGGUAAACUCGAGCGCACAAUGAAAGUAAUAGUUGAGAUCUCUGUCAUGGAGAGCAUCGACGCCCGGACCUGAUGUUUACUGACGGUUCUGCGGUAGAGCAUGUAUGUUGGGACCCGAAAGAUGGUGAACUAUGCCUGAAUAGGGUGAAGCCAGAGGAAACUCUGGUGGAGGCUCGUAGCGAUUCUGACGUGCAAAUCGAUCGUCAAAUUUGGGUAUAGGGGCGAAAGACUAAUCGAACCAUCUAGUAGC
rnacentral:rRNA from 1 species